rnacentral:lncRNA from 1 species
UUCUCACUUUAUUCAUACUAUCUUUCACAGUGAAGAAAUAUUUAAUUUUAAUGGAGUUCAGCUUAUGUGCUUUUUGGUGUAGGACAACCUCUGACUUUUCACUCAAGCUUCAUCUUCCAUUUCUUCUUCACCUACUCACCUCUUCUUUUCGGCAAAGACAGGACCAAGUGCAAAAGCGGCCCACUCUCUCUGCUGCUGUAGGUCCACUCCCCAUCAAGUUCAUGAAUCAUGUAAGCACAACUCAUUUGUCAAAAAACACAUUUAUAGGAAUCAGAAUUCCUUUAUGUGCAGGGGUUGCUGGAUUGCUUGCCAACUCUAACUAAAUAAUUCAUCAAGUCCUGAUUUGCUAGAAAUGUAAUACAAAAGGAAC